rnacentral:lncRNA from 15 species
AGGCUGGGAUUUUGGGGUUGGGACUUAAUUAGGGUUGUAGGACCUUAGGUUUAGGGCCACAAAAUGGGCUAGGGGAUAGGCCAAUUAAUGGGAAUCAGAGUGACAAAUUGGGACUGAUGUUAAAUUGGGGUAGAGCAGGGACUUAGGGUUAGCUUAGCAUAGCUUAACAUGGGUGGGAGGACCAGACAUAUGUCCAAGGAGGCGCUGGCUAAGUUAGGUGAGAACUAGGAGCUGGGACCCACCGAAGUGGAUCCCAACAGUGCACGGGCCAUCAUCAGGGACGUCCAGUCCUCCGUCGCCAUCUUCCAGGUGGCGCUGGCCGCGACGUUUCGUCCGCUUCUUGGGACUUCCUCAGGCUUAAGGCCACAGCAUGCAGGAUUUCAUGGACUUCGUGGAGCUCCCUCAACACGGAAUAAGGUGGCGCUGGCCGCGACGUUUCGUCCGCUUCUUGGGACUUCCUCAGGCUUAAGGCCACAGCAUGCAGGUAAGUAUAUCCCCUAUAUG